CGCCCUGCUUUGACUCCAAAGGAUCCUUCACUCAGUCCUUAGAACACACACUAACCACGGCCUAUCACAGCCAUCACCAGGGCCACGAAAUACGGGACAAACAAGGGAAGUGCGGUAUGAAACAAGACGACUCUCCCUGCAAGCGGGGCGGAGCCUAGCUGUCCUUAAACACAGAGGGGAGCUUGGAAAUUAUCCCAUGGGGCACAGGGUGGCUCUAUUUUUAUUCAAGGAGAUAAAAAGUAACUCUACGCUUCUAGAACUUUUAGGACUGUGAUUAUGUCUUCCCUCUCCAUGCCGGCCUGUAAUGCCGGUUGUAAUGCCUGAGACAGACUCAGCGGGGCUGAGGCCAUCACAAGCAGCUGCAGGUACAAAAAUGUUCAAACAAUUGAAUGCAGAUGAAAGUAACCAUCGCAUGACCUCAUCAUGCUUCCUUUCAACAGGACCUGCUACCUGCAGACCUCACAGGAUACCACGUUUAUAUUAAAACACAAAGGCCCAGUCUGGUUCUGA